rnacentral:rRNA from 1 species
AUGGAGUUACACAUACAAGUGGAGUUAGACAUACUCCAACAUACUCCACACAAACAACAUACUCCAACAUACUCAAAUAUGGAUUAUUACAAACAUGACAAGCAUCACAACCUCAUCACAAGCAUCACAAGCAUCAUCACUGGCAUCACAGCCUCAUCGCAAGCAUCAUCACUAGCAUCACAGCCUCAUCACAAGCAUCAUCACUGGAAUCACAACCUCACGCAAGCAUCAUCACUAGCAUCACAGCCUCAUCGCAAGCAUCAUCACUGGCAUCACAGCCUCAUCACAAGCAUCAUCACUAGCAUCACAACCUCAUUGCAAGCAUCAUCACUAGCAUCACAGCCUCAUCGCAAGCAUCAUCACUAG